UACGAAGGGGGGCUAGCGUUGUUCGGAAUUACUGGGCGUAAAGCGCGCGCAGGCGGUUCUACAAGUCAGUGGUGAAAGCCCGGAGCUCAACUCCGGAACUGCCAUUGAAACUGCAGAACUUGAGGAUGAGAGAGGUGAGUGGAAUUCCCAGUGUAGAGGUGAAAUUCGUAGAUAUUCGGAAGAACACCAGUGGCGAAGGCGACUCACUGGACACGUAUUGACGCUGAGGUGCGAAAGCGUGGGGAGCAAACAGG
rnacentral:rRNA from 1 species